UACAGAGGGUGCGAGCGUUAAUCGGAAUUACUGGGCGUAAAGCGCACGUAGUCGGCUUUGCAAGUCGGGUGUGAAAUCCCCGGGCUCAACCUGGGAAUGGCAUUGGAAACUGGCUAGCUGGAGUGUGGCAGAGGGGGGUGGAAUUCCGCGUGUAGCAGUGAAAUGCGUAGAGAUGCGGAGGAACACCGAUGGCGAAGGCAGCCCCCUGGGCCAACACUGACGCUCAGGCACGAAAGCGUGGGGAGCAAACAGG
rnacentral:rRNA from 1 species